rnacentral:lncRNA from 1 species
UAUUUUUUUCUCCCGUUGCAACGCACGGGCCCUUUUGCUAGUAUAUAUAUACACGAGGUAGGUUGGGUUAGGGUUAUCUCAUCACAUCGAUAGAAAUCAAACGGUCGAGAUUAUUAGGUUAGGGCGUCCAAUUGACAAACCGAUGAUGAUUUGGGGUAUUAUGGGGUUGAUCCAGACCCAACGGUCACAACGUAUGUUUCGGGUUCGGGAUAGGUUUUCAACCUAGGUUGCGAGCGGACCGGUGCACUGUGCACAGAGGCUAGGCGGAGAUGAGAGGGAAAUGGGCAGCCCGACAACAGGUUUUUUAACACCGAAAACGUCCGACUAAUAAACCGACGAUGGUGUCACUACGGUCGACCGUUCGGGUACUAAAUGGACUCCGAUUGUGAUGAAACUUGCCAGGCGUCCUACCUAUAAUAAAAUAAGAUUGCACGCCAAGUUUCAACCCAAUCCUAGAAUAUUUAUACACACAUUUAAAACAAUAUUUUAAAAUGAUGUCGCACGCGCGUGCGUGUGUGGUUGGUCUCAGAACGGAUAACGACAAAAACAGAGAGAACCAUCAACUAAUAACGGAUGCAAGUUUUGAAAACUGACGGCAACAGAGUGCCGAUGCAAUGCGGAUGAUGCGAAUGAUGCGAUGGUGAAUGCGACAACCAAACUAAUCACACGACAAGAACAAAAUAAAAGGGG